AAGCUUUCCGGUCGCAAAAGCCGGAAGCGGUUGGAAGCGGUCCACGCGGUCCUCAGUGAAGUCGCGCGCCCCGGAUUUCGGAGGGCUAGGCCGCGGGGCUUCCGCUGCACCUGCAGCCGCUGGCCGCCGCGCUUGGAGGGACGCUCCCUUAAAAGUCGCUUUCCGAGGAGGCCGAGAACGAGUGGUGGAGUGCAGCGGUAACUCGCUUGUUGCAUCUACCCCUCCCCUCUCUGUGUUGCCCAUUUCCCACCUCUCUUUAUUAACGAACUUCAGGAAAACGUAGAGGUUUUCGGCGCGGUCGGGACCUGAGCUUGCGGCCACCUGUGACACCAGCUGGCUAAUCUUAUAACAAGCACAGCCGAAUUCUGGAGAAAUACAGGACGUGGGGCGUUAUCGUUUUCUACGCCGUGGCGUCAUUGUGAACUCCGAUACUGCUGCUCUCUGAUCCCGGUUUUGUGAAUCCCAAAAUUAUCUUCCAAGAACCCUGGGUCCCGGAGACAUGGGCCCUGCCCGGAAAGCAUUUUGCCGGCUUUAUCCUCGGGAACUUAAAUAGGUUACGGAUUUUUUUUUUUUUUUUUUUUUUUUUUAUUUCAGGGGCCUUAAUUUCUUCUAAAACUAUAUUAUUUUAUCAUUGCAAAGAGGGUCUUUUGAUCUGCUGAGUAACUUGCUUAAGAUUAGGGAGUGCGAACUAAAGAGAGCUGAACUGCUGUGCCAGAUGGUCGGAGAGAGGCGUCCAUGAAUUGGGAUUCUGGUCACCGAAUGGGGAAAAAAUCCAGACAAGAACCCAACGUGACUGACUAGCUAAAAAAGGAUUUUGAAAGCGAAAAUGGCUGGUAUGGAUACAGAGAUACCCCGCUCUGCAGCGGGCGUUAUGACCUUUAACAGGGUCUUCAGGAAAGUCACCACUACUCACAAACGCUUGGUCUGGAGGAGUUGUUUUGCUGGAAACAGAAACGGUUGGAUUUAGCAUCCAUGACAACGUGGUAAAUGUAAAGGCAGCAGGUGUAGCGACAGGAGUCAGGAAAGCAGUUGAGAUACUACGAAUGCUACCCUUCCAGAAACUUGUGGGACUCUUGGGUGGGCUUUGGACUUCCACGAGAUAGGAAAUUAGAGUGUUUGAGUGUAGUUUAACCCGGAUGUCUAGAAACAUAGAAACUCCAGCUGAUGCGUAAACCCUGUGAGGAUAGGAAUUUUGUAUGUCGUGCUCACUGCUCUGUACCUAGAAUUAGGCAUAGAGUGGAAAGGUCCCUGUAGUCCUGAAGCUUCAAAAAGGAGGAAGGAAUCUCAGAGAUAAGUAACAUACAAAGCCACAGAAAUAAUUAGCUGUAGAACCAAGAUUCAUAUCGAGCUCCAACUCCAAACCGAUCUCUAGGCACGACACCACAGUGGUACGCAGCCAGCUAUCCACCAGUAUCCAUUGUCUCCAGCCACAGCUAAGUAGCUACUACCAGGGCACCCCACUCUCGGUUGGGCGUCCCACUCUGGGUUUGAUUCUGAUCAUGAUCUCACAGUUUAGUGAGUUCCAGCCUGCGUUGGGCUCUGUGCUGCUAAUGCAGAGAAUGUUUGGUUCUCUCUCUCUUUCUGCCCCUCCCCUGCCCCUUGCUCAUGCUGUGCUCAUGCUGUCUCUGUCUCUCUCAAAAAUAAAAAAAAUUUAAAAAAAAAAAAAAAAAAAAGAACUACUAGCCAGGUGUGGCCAUUAUGUAACUCAUCAGCAGAAUGCGGCCAGAAGCAAUGUAUGCCAUUGACAAGGGAAGUUUCAAAGAAGGGAGUGCGCCUUCAUCUUUGGCCAGCUGGAUACAGACAACAAAGCCAUAAAAGAUGACCGAAACACAAACCAGGAGGACCUCAGGGCUCCUGGCUCCGUGUGGAGUAAAGCCAGCAGCUGUUAACUGCUGGUUCUGAUCAGGACUCCAGGCCCAGGCUCCUUCCUGCAGGCAGAUCACGGGUCACUGAGCCGCCCGCGUGCCUUGUGUGUGCUUCAUCUCAUCACCCAGGACGUGAAAUGACUUGUCCUCAAGCUUUGGGACUCAGUCAAGAUGGGACAAGAAACCAUAUGGCAAAGCGCUGACUGGCUCUGACCGUCUCUGCACAUCAGUUCCAUUCACAUUUUCUAGGCCAAGCAAGUCACAUGGUCACUUCUAGCCACAAGUGCACAGGUAAGUGCAACUUGUGGGGAAGUGGCUUGUGGGGAAGAGAGCUGUAGAAUGUUUGAGAGCCUUCCCAGUGACUGCACACCUCAACACCUUUCAAAGUAAGGAAAACAAUACCGCUUGGACCGCACAAAAUAACCUGCCCUCGUUCUUUCUUCUGCCACAGCAAGGAAUAAAGUUGUAGAUGGCGGCUGCUCUAAUGACAAAGAACAGAGUCUCCUGCUGACCCUUGACCACCGCCUAGUGUGAGCAAGCAAACAAACGUCAUGUCUUAAACGGUGGAGCUGUUGGCGUCUUUGUUGCUGUGGCCCAACUCACCCAUGAGCACUGCAGUUAGGGCUUGUCCCACACCCGGCCCACACCCCCGGGCCAGUUCGCUAAUUGACUUGACUGUGUGAGUUCGCAAGGCUGCUUUACACGACGCUGUCUUCCUGAAAUCUGCACCUGUACCAAGUUAGGUGCCCGUCAUCUGUCUGACAAACAAAGCUAGUGCUUUUAAUGUUGCCUUUCAGUGUGAUUAAGUACGCUAGUGAACCUACUGUUUUAAGG